rnacentral:tRNA from 1 species
GGGGCUGUAGCUCAGAGGUAGAGCACAUGUCUGGUGUCCAUGAGGCUCUGAAUUUGAUCCACAGCCCUG